GUUUUGCCUCCAUAACAGCUCUCUACAAAGCACAGUGAGGGUCCCUAGAAAGGAUGCAGUCAUAGCAGGAGGUGUAUCUGCCACAGAAGGAGAGAGGGAGCUGCACCACACCUGAUGGCGAGCCCACGUACACGCUCAUCUGCAGGGAAAACGAGAGGAUUUAAAGAUAUCAGCACAUUGUUAACAGGCUGUGGCUCCUCAAAGACUUGAAGCUCUUCGAUAAUGUGCAGCUGACCCUCAACUUCUAC